UGAGUAACACUUGGGUAACCUACCCUUCAGAGGGGGACAACUUCGGGAAACCGAAGCUAAUACCGCGUACGCUGCAAUUUCUCACGGGAGAUUGUGGGAAAGCUUUUGCGCUGAAGGAUGGGCCCGAGCCCGAUUAGUUUGUUGGUGGGGUAAUGGCCUACCAAGACUACGAUUGGUAGCUGGUCUGAGAGGAUGAUCAGCCACACUGGUACUGGAACACGGACCAGACUCCUACGGGAGGCAGCAGUUAGGAAUUUUGCGCAAUGGGGGAAACCCUGACGCAGCAACGCCGCGUGAGUGAUGAAGGCCCUAGGGUUGUAAAGCUCUUUCGAUAGGGAAGAAAAAAAUGACGGUACCUAUAGAAGAAGCACCGGCUAACUCCGUGCCAGCAGCCGCGGUAAGACGGAGGGUGCGAGCGUUGCUCGGAUUUACUGGGCGUAAAGAGCACGUAGGCGGCUAGGUAAGUCUGAUGUGAAAGCCCACGACUCAAUCGUGGAAGUGCAUUGGAUACUGCUUGGCUAGAAUGCAGGAGAGGUGAGCGGAAUUCCAGGUGUAGAGGUGAAAUU
rnacentral:rRNA from 1 species